ensembl:lncRNA
CAAUAUUUUCCUGAGCUUUUUUUCAGUGAGUGGCAGGCUUUCCUUUUCAGCGUGAUUUGUGAACAGGAUGAAGCUUGGCCAGCAACACAGGCAGGGCGGGAGGAGUAGGACUAGUCCCUCUGAUUGGGUGGGAAAACAGACAGAGACGGGAGAGGUUUGAGAACCACUGAUUUCGACAACAGUUCCCAUGACACAAGGAAUUAUGUGAGUCUUUCACGAGACACAAGGACCCUUUUCUGAACUGCAAAGAACCAUUGACGGGCUCAAAGGGAUAUUUGAGUCAUUAUGGUUCAACAUAGAACCAUCACCCUUACCAAAGAACCCUUGAAGAACUAUGUACUGGAGAGGGUGCACAGGCCACAAAUUGUGUGCCAAUCAUCAUCAAAGAGUGAAUUACAAAGGUUGUUACUGAAAUUUGAGGAUGCCAUGGUUACACAGAGAGAAACCACAAUUGCAGUGGAAUAGUAAUAUUUCAAAAGGUAUCGUAGAGGUUAGAGCAUUGGGCCAGUAACCAAAAGUUCGCUGGUUUGAAUACUUGAUUGCUCAGGGGCGCAGCACAAUGGUGACCUUUGCUAUGACCUCAUUUCCUGCGGGUGUCUCAGGGGGAGUGGAGAUAUGCAAGAAACACAUUUGCAUUACACACUUGUGUGUAACAGGACAAAUAUAAACACCCACCAUUAUUAUUUUAUUUUUUAUUUGAUUUGCAUCUUUAUUUUGUGUGAUUUUCACAGCCGAACAACUACAGUAUCUUUUCUCUGAGCUUUAGAGUAAUAUGGCAUGGCAUUACCAAGGGGAGAUAAUUGUUCAAUAAAUCUGAAUAAACUAGUACCAUUUACUCAGACACAUUUGUCAAGAACAUCCUUAAAUGUAAUUCUAUGCGAGCUAAAACUAUUUUUAUUCACUCAUGUACUACACAAUUUGAUGAGGAUGUAGUGAGUCAUUCAAUUCAAUUCUAAAUGAGGCUUUCUUCAAAAUGUCAGACAUUGCUUUUUAGAUAACAAAGCAUAUAUAUUCUUUAUUAUCUGGUCCCCACAAAAAAAGUGUGCGUGUGUAUAUAUAUUAGUACAUGCAUAUAAU